UGGAUUCAAACCAAAGAACCCAUGUGGACACGUUGUACCCUUUGAAGCAUCGCACACAAUUUUUACAGACUGUGGGUAUUUCCAAAGAAUGCAUUCAGCACCAUCUCUAUCCAAUGACGGGAAAGAAAGCCAAGAUUGGAUUUCUGAGGCAGCAUUAAUACAUAAUGAAAUUCAGAUUUCAAAAUUAUGAAGUCUUAAUCAGAAUCUACCUCACAAGAUACCACCUGAAAAUUCCAGUGCUAUCCGGGGUGCCUUUGCGUGGUAACAGCAAUUGCCAUUACCAAGACUUAAGACAAGCUAGACGCUGUUGGAACAAUGCAGGCUCCCAGGUCAACAUCAGCUUGACUGAAAUGGGAUGUUUCUGUACUUGAGCUCUGCAACAGUAAUGAAGAGCUCCAUCUGGAAAUCAUUCCAAUAACAACGACGACUGUCUUCUGCUUCAAUCGAUCAUUCUAUGGUCCCCACCGCUAGCCAGCUCUAUUUCUGCAAAUGUCAUAGAAGUGUGGGUGUGUAGGCUGGGCAGGGUGGCUCACGCCUGUAAUCCCAGCACUUUGGGAGGCCGAGGUGGGUGGAUCACGAGGUCAGGAGAUCGAGACCAUCCUGGCCGACAUGGUGAAACUCCAUCUCUACUAAAAAUACAAAAAUUAGCUGGGUGUGGUGGCGUGCCUGUAGUCCCAACUACUCAGGAGGCUGAGGCAGGAGAAUCGCUUGAACCCCGGAAGCAGAGGUUGCAGUGAGCCGAGAUCGCGCCACUGCACUCCAGCCUGGUGACAGAGUGAGACUGUCUCAAAAAAAAAAAAAAAAAAAAGGUGUGGGCGUGUUUGUUGUGCGGGAUUAUGGUCUCAUUCCUAGUGCUGCUUUGCCCUAGGGAAAUGCUGGUCACAGCAGUGUUGGUAGCUCCCUCCCUCCUUGCUUCCCGCUGGGUCUGAGCUCCUUUCUCUGGGAGGUAAUGGCUGUGUUAAGAAGGGCUAGCAGGAUGGGACUAGCUCCAGAGCCCAGGCUGCAACGUCCCCAUCGGCGCUGGGGCUGAGUUCCAGGAGGAAGAGCAGGAGGCUGGGGGAUUUCCAGGAAGUCUCUAACCUCAGCAAACAAGAGCAAAGCUAUCUGCCCAUCAGACCUGGGCCACUCAGGCGCUUUUCCUGGUGGGUGACAGCCGCCAGGACUCUGAGGAAAGGCCAUGGUGCUUUCUAAGGGCCCAGGAGAGGCCAGUCCUGGGCUGAAGGGAAGGAGCCCUUAUUUUUCCAGUGACAUGAGUUGUCCAAGCAUUUUCCAUGCACUCCCCUUCAGAGAACAUUUCUGUCAAAUGAAACUGUUGCUUCCUCCACUUAACAAUCCAGAAGGAGCUGCCCUCAUGCCCCAAGAGCUCACCCUCCCCAGCUACAGGGCACGGGGCUUUCCAGGGUCCAGAACCCAGGCUGGGGUGGCCAGGCCCAUAGGUCAGGAAUGAGCGUUUCCCAGCACAGCCGCCCUCAGCCUCCUCCAUUGUACAGGAGGCAGGGAGCAUGGGAGGAAGCUGCCAGCCUCCCUCCGAGGGCCGUGGCCCAGCACAGCUCGCCCACCAGACAGAAGUCACACAGGCCCAGCCCCCUUGCUCAGCGCAGCCCCAACACAGGCCUCCUGCCUCCCUCGGUCUGGGACCCACUCCCCACAGCACCUCCUAAUUGAGGACUCUGGUUCUCCGUCUGGACGGCAGACCUAGAAACAGCCACAGACACAGGCUUGCUUCCUUGUGGUAAACAGACAACACAAGGCAACGCCCCACGGUUCGCAGUUCUGUGGAUUUUAACUCCUGUGUAGAUUUCAGCGGCCACAACCACAAUGAGGGCAGGGUACAUCCCAAUGCCCCAAACCCCACAGUAACCCCUCUCCUCAGUCACACACCAGCCCCUCCAAGGCCCUGGCCCUGACCCCCUCUCCGCAGUGACACACCAGCCCCUCCAAGGCCCUGGCCCUGACCCCCUCUCCUCAGUCACACACCAGCCCCUCCGAAGCCCUGGCCCUGACCCCUUCUCCAGAGAAAGUCACGGAGGUGGGAUGAUGGAAUGCCACCUCAGAAACUGCCUGCCUUCCUUCAGCAAAAGGCCUUGGGUUUCAACCACACUGUCUCCUCGCUGCUGAGAGGUAUUCCACGGCAUGGAGGGGCCCGUUCCUUUAUCCUUUCGCCCAUCGAAGGACAUUUGAGUUGCUUCCAGUUUUUGCCAAACUGGAAAACAGUUUAUGAAUACAGCUGCUGUCAAUAUUUGUGUGCAGGUUUUUAGAUUAACGUAAAGUUUCAUUUCUCUACAGAAGAUACUAAGGACUGGGAUUGAUGAAUCACAUGGUAUGUUUAUGUUUAUAAGAAACUGCCAAACUGUUUUCCAUUCUACAUUCCCACGAGGAAGUGUGAGCGUUCCCACUUCUCUGCAUCUUUCUCAACACUACAACAGCAGUUGAAGAGUCACGGCAGAGCCUGGAAUACUUCCUGUCUGGCCCUUCACAGGUAAAAAUUUGCCAACUUCUGAUCUAUGGAAUGUAAAAAAGGUAAACAAAAUUCUCCUGCCCAGCAGGCAUGUAACUACCUGACAGCCAGGCUCCACCUCCCCACCCACGCCCACGUCACCCAUUCCCGGUCAACCUCGGCCUUCUUUCCUGCUGAGCACAGCCCCUCAGAACCCUUCUCAACACAGCACUGCAGGAAGCUCUGACCAAGUUAUCUAAAAUUAACAUGAUCAAAACUGUUUGUCCUGCCUACUCUAGGCUAUGGUUGGAAGAAGAAAUUUAAGUGACAAAAAGAAAAAUCUAAAGUGAUUUUGUUACCUAAAGGCAGCAGCAGAUUGGUGUUUCAGAGGCCCUGAAACGUGUAUAGCUCAGAAGUCUCUUCGUGAGAGAACAAUUCCAAAUUAUGAAUGUAAAAUUACUACAGCCUGAGAAAAGACCUGUGCAAAUAAGAAAUGAGGAGGUUGAAACUGCCUUGGUUUCCUGGUAAAUCUGCCUUGCAGAGGCUUUGAACUCUUCACAGGCCUGGCCCCACCCCAGAGCUGCUGAAUGUGCCUCGGAGGUGGGGUAUCCAGGCUUACGAGUUGCUGCAGGCAUUUCUCAGUUGGUCCAAAUGCACAUCUGGGAUCACAGCCUCUGAUCUGAAGCAGAGGGGAGCAACGCGGCCUGGCUGGCUGUGGGACAUGGCACCAGAUGCCAUUUCAAUGAAAGCUUCACAAUAACAUGAGCAAGGGUCGGUGAGUGCUGGAAUCAGCUUCUCCAGCUGCUGUGCUCCAACUGGCCAGGGACCUACAGAGAAGACGCUCAGGGCCAGCAUCGUAGCCCUCGUGGAGGCACAGCUGAGGUUCUCCGCAGUCAAGGCUUCUUGGAGCCAGGAGUCUGUAGAGCCCUGGGGGCCUGGAAGCCCCUCCAUCUGGGAAAGUGGAGGCAAAAGUACCUGGCCCUGCUCCUCCUCGUCCAGCUGGGAGAAGAGCGAGGACCCCACAGUCACCACAAGGAGAGCCCAGGGCUCAGGAGAGCAUCUGAACACACGACAGGGCUCGAGGGAGCAUCUGAAUGCACGACAGGGCUCAGGAGAGCAUCUGAACGCACGACAGGGCUCGGGAGAGCAUCUGAACGCACGACAGGGCUCGGCGGAGCAUCUGAACGCACGACAGGGCUCGGGGGAGCAUCUGAACACACAAAGGCCUGCCUGCUGAGGGAUCGGCAGUGGUCCCAGGUCUGCCUCCUGCCCACCUUCUGACCCCAAGUGAGUUCAUUUACGGCCCUGAGCCUUAGUUUCCCCAGACUUAAAUUGGGAAUGGUGAAAAUACUUACCUGCUAGGUUUGUUCCGAGGGUGAGGAGAAAUCGUGCAUGGGACACCCUCUGAGAGCCUGGCAUCGCCACUCCAGUGCAAAUGAAGAAAGAUCAGAAAAAUGACUCUCGGAUGCUUGUUCUCAAAGAUUCCCCAGAAUUUUUACAAUCUUGAGGUAAAGAAGGCCUUCCUUAGCAAAAUACCAAUUUAAAAAGUACAAAUAAAAAGACUGACAGAUCUGUAGAAAAUGACCUGUUAAAGGUCAGAAGAUAAGGAACAAAAGUAGGAAAAUCAUCCCUAUUUGCAACUUCCGUGGUAGCCAGCCUCACAGACAGCCUCACAGUCCCUGAUCCUUGGAGCUCGCGUCCCUCCCACACUAAGUAAGCCUCGCUGGUGUAACUGGAAGGACGUUGCAGAAAUAACGAAGAGUGACUCCCAAGACUAGGUCAGUGAGACAACAUGCAACAUGACAAAAAUAGAAACAGCUCAUGCAAAUUGACAAGAAAGAGGCAGUGUGACAAAAAGUAAGCCAAAGGUAUAAAUGUCACUGGAAAAGACAACCAAAAGCUAUAUAUAACUGCAUGAAAAUAUGCUACACCCUCACUAGUAAUGAAAGGAACGCUUAGGAGGCCGAGGCGGGUGGAUCACUUGAGGUCAGGAGUCUGAGACCAGCGUGACCAAUAAGGUGAAACCCCAUCUCUACUAAAAAUACAAAAAUUAGCCAGGCGUGGUGGCGGUGCCUCCCAGCUACUCGGGAGGCUGAGGUGGAAGAAUUGCUUAAACCCAGGAGGCGGAGGUUGCAGUAAGCCGAGAUCAUGCCAUUGCACUCCAGCCUGGGCGACAGAGCGAGACUCCAUCUCAAAAAAAAAAAAAAAGAAAUGCAGUUUCAUAUACUGAAAUCGCCAGUGUGGUAGAUUCGUGCAGCAAUAGCACAGUCCCCACAGGGAACCAUGCUUCCUGUGCAGCCCUCUCUUAUGGAGAUAUGGGCCCUUAGCCGGUAUGGUGUCAGAAAACCUGACGGACAGAAACGUGUGUGGAGCACUGGGAUUUGCCUCCUAGAGAAUGAGAGACCUCAUGGAGCACAGCCAGGCCGUCUCAGUCAAGACCCACUUAGACUGCAUGGGGCAGAGCCAAGACCAGCCCCAGCCAAUCCCCCAGACACCCGGAGCUUGAGCUCUGCAGAUGAGACCGGUGGAAGAGCUGCCCAGCUGAGCCCAGCCAAAAUGGCCAUGGCUCUGAAAGCAUUAAGGGUUUUGGUGGAUUGUUAUGCGCAACAGAGAUUGGUACCAUGAGUAACUUUCAUCCUAUCAUAUUAACAAAGUUGGAAAUGAUCAAUAUUUUCCAGCAUUGAGGUGCUAACAGAGAAACUGGAACCGUCUGCUAACGAGAGUCUAAGCUGGUGCGUCCGAUGUGAAGAACCUUUAACAAUAACCAUCAAGGUAUUCAGUGCUCAUUGCUCUUGACCUAGCAGGUCCACUUCCAGAAAUUUUUGCUGUGGAAGGAUAUGCAUAACUUGAGCAUAGAUGCAUGAGAAUAAUAUUAUGCAAUAUUAAUCAUAAUUGUGAAAAUACAGAAAACCUAGGCAACCACGUGCACUAAGAAAUGCAGUACACGCACCCUUAAGAAAGAACCAGGCAAACCUGUGUGUUACAGUAUCCAAAGCUGGACAUGACAAGUUAUGAGAAAAGCAGAUUUUAUAAUAAAAUGUUUACUCUAAACCAUUUCUGUAAAAUAAAUAAUGUGUGUUGUUAUGCAUAGGAAAAGUCUGCAAGGCUGCACACCAAACCACGUAUAAGAAUUGUUUUGGGGGAUGUGACUAUGGUAUUUUUGUUUAAUUUUCUUUAUUUUAGAGUAGCUUAAAUAUUUUACAGUAAGCAUUUAUUACUUCCACAGUCAGAAAAACACAAAAACAAAAAUAUUAUAGAGUAAAAUGUAUAAAUGAUGUAACUUGCAGUAAAUACGUAGUUUGUCAUUUAUAGUAAAUAUUUAGCUUGUAUUUUACAUGUGUGUUGAAAAUCUGGAAAGAAAUGCAGUAUUUAGGACAGCUUUUCC
rnacentral:lncRNA from 1 species